CUUUUUUCUCUCUCUCUCUCAAACAGAGAUAUGAGGGAAGACGACUGGGUUACAGUGGCCAUGAGUGAUGACACGCUCGUCGUCCAGCUCCUUUUGAAGCUAAGCCAAGCGGAACCGCCGUCCCCCCCACUGUUCAAUAAGGGCGUCUCUGCGCGGGCUUUGCAGUUGCACUGGACCGUGAGACAACCUCGCUCUAAGCACGUGCCAAGGAAGAAAGCCGAUGCCACUCGGGCUAGUCCCACCACGCCGCUUUCUUGGAGCGGCGGCACCUCUGUUAGCGGUUGCGCAGCCGAUGGAUUCGAGGAGUCCAGCUUCCCUGCCAAGACAAUUGACAUCGCAAGAUCUAAGGUUGCCGUUGCCAGUGAAACACCAGCCACCAAGAGGUCAAGAAAGAAAAAGACCCUACCCGAGCUUAAAGAGGAGG
rnacentral:misc_RNA from 1 species